UUAGGGGUGGACCUCAUCGGACCCUUCACGAAAUCCAGGAAUGGCAACAGCUGGUGUCUGACGGCGACCGAUCACUUUACCAAGUGGGUGGAGGCAAUACCCAUUAAGGACAAGACUGGCGAGGCCACCUCCAAGGCGAUGAUAGACAUCUUCAACACCCACGGUUCUCCUGAGGUCAUCUUGAGUGACCGAGGUUAUGAACGCUUGGACAAGGUUUGGAUGAAUGGACCAACCAGACCCUCAAGACUGCCAUGGGACAAGUCCCUUGACGGGUACCAGGAACGGUGGCAGAACAACCUGAAGAUCACUGAAACCCAACCUGAUGUGGUGGAAGUUGUUGAACCAGAUCAGAACGCCUUCGAGGACCACCUUCAGGCACUGACAAAUGUUCUGGCCCUCCAAGAGAUAUGUAAGAAAUUUAUUUGUAAUAUAAAAUAUAAUUGCAUUUAUUCCUGUUAUAAAUCAAGGUGAGACUGAACAUCGACAAGGCGCAGGAGAAACAGAAGGAGCGCUACCGGAGGAUAAUCAAGAAGGGGACCAAGUGCUUCGUCAUCCGGGCGAAUUACUUGGUUUGGGAGAAGGACGAAAGGAAGGCGAGACCUGGGAAACCUCGCUGCUCUUUUGCUCCUGGCUGAGGUCACCAUCUGUUAAGGGAAGCCAACAAUCAGCAGUUGGAUGGUUGACCACUGAAAGCCCUGACGCCCUACACUUCGGUGAAGCCCAAUAGACAAAGAAUGUUAAGCUUUGGUUUACAUUUGAGAAAGCAAGAAAUUAGUUAUGCUGAGCUCAUAAAAAAAGUACUUCUUCAAUUUACCUCUCCAAAUGGCUUUAGGACCAUCAACUGUCCGAGCCCCCCAGGAGGUAUCCCAUCCACCAGAGCCAGUGAGUUUGGAUCAGUCUGAUUCUCUGUGCUCUGAGUCAGAGGUGGACCAGCUUAAGGACCUAGGGGUUCUGCCCAACACCCAGACGUGGAUCCACAAGAUGUCUUCCAUUACCAACCACUCUCCAACUUUUCAUUACAUAAUCUACAGCUACUCUUUUUGUCAUGUUGUCAUUAUCUGCUAAGAAAGUUUUCUUUCUCCAUCAUACUGGGCACAUAAUAUGUGAGAUACACAGAUUAACUAAAAACACUAGCAUUGCAAACACUCAGAACAAAGAGAGCAGCAGUGCCUGGACUUUGCAGUCUCCCUCUUCAAGUCCCCCUUCUGAGACUGGCUGCCUGUUGAGAACAAGUGACAUGCAGAACCUCCCGCCCACACAGCAACCACCUCCUCUAUAUUCCAC